UACGUAGGGUGCGAGCGUUGUCCGGAAUUAUUGGCGUAAAGAGCUUGUAGGCGGUUUGUCGCGUCUGCUGUGAAAUCCGGGCUCAACCCCGGACUUGCAGUGGGUACGGCAGACUAGAGUGUGGUAGGGAGACUGGAAGUUCCUGGUGUAGCGGUGAAAUGCGCAGAUAUCAGGAGGAACACCGAGUGGCGAAGGCAGGUCUCUGGGCCACUACUGACGCUGGAGAAGCGGAAAGCAUGGGAGCGAACAGG
rnacentral:rRNA from 1 species